UAGAUACCCUGGUAGUCCACGCUGUAAACGAUGUCGAUUUGGAGUUUGUUGCCUAGAGUGAUGGGCUCCGAAGCUAACGCGAUAAAUCGACCGCCUGGGGAGUACGGCCGCAAGGUUAAAACUCAAAUGAAUUGACGGGGGCCCGCACAAGCGGUGGAGCAUGUGGUUUAAUUCGAUGCAACGCGAAGAACCUUACCUGGUCUUGACAUCCAUAGAAUUCUGCAGAGAUGUGGGAGUGCCUUCGGGAACUAUGAGACAGGUGCUGCAUGGCUGUCGUCAGCUCGUGUUGUGAAAUGUUGGGUUAAGUCCCGCAACGAGCGCAACCCUUAUUCUUUGUUGCCAGCGAUUUGGUCGGGAACUCAAAGGAGACUGCCGUUGAUAAAGCGGAGGAAGGUGGGGACGACGUCAAGUCAUCAUGGCCCUUACGACCAGGGCUACACACGUGCUACAAUGGCGUAUACAAAGGGAAGCGAAGGUGCGAGCUGGAGCGGAUCUCAUAAAGUACGUCUAAGUUCGGAUUGGAGUCUGCAACUCGACUCCAUGAAGUCGGAAUCGCUAGUAAUCGUAGAUCAGAAUGCUACGGUGAAUACGUUCCCGGGCCUUGUACACACCGCCCGUCACACCAUGGGAGUGGGUUGCACCAGAAGUAGAUAGCUUAACCGCGAGGGGGGCGUUUACCACGGUGUGAUUCAUGACUGGGGUGAAGUCGUAACAAGGUAACCA
rnacentral:rRNA from 1 species